rnacentral:rRNA from 1 species
ACAGAGGUGGCAAGCGUUGUUCGGAAUUACUGGGCGUAAAGGGCGCGUAGGCGGCCUUCUAAGUCAGACGUGAAAUCCCCCGGCUUAACCUGGGAACUGCGUCUGAUACUGGAAGGCUUGAGUGCGGGAGAGGGAUGUGGAAUUCCAGGUGUAGCGGUGAAAUGCGUAGAUAUCUGGAGGAACACCGGUGGCGAAGGCGGCAUCCUGGACCGACACUGACGCUGAGGCGCGAAAGCUAGGGUAGCAAACGGGA